GCACAAUUCGAUGUCUUUUACUGGACGAGUUGGGUCCAAUACUCUUUCUUUUCAGCGGACACGAGUUUCCCGUCGACAACAUGGACAAACCAGUCAAACUUGCAAAGGUCAUAAAAAUUCUGGGCCGCACCGGAUCCCAGGGGCAGUGUACACAGGUCCGCGUUGAGUUCUUGGACGACUCAAACCGAUCCAUCAUCCGAAAUGUGAAGGGACCGGUCCGCGAGGGAGAUAUCCUCACACUGUUGGAGAGUGAGAGAGAAGCAAGAAGACUGAGGUGAAUGGGAGGUGCUGAGCCAGAGAGCAUACAAAUGUUCAUACAUUUCAUCAAGACCAAGAACACCUUAUCUCCUGUCUAUCAUCCUGACAUGAGUGGUUCACAUGUGAGGGUUUAACCAUCACCUAACAACA
rnacentral:lncRNA from 1 species